AGUUAAGAAACAUACCUGCACACAAAAGACAUGCGUUAAAGCAGUUGCCCAUGGUGGGGAUGGGGAGGGCGUGGGAGUAAGGUAUGAGGAUAAAAGGAAGUCAUGAAAACAGACAAGAAAGGGGCCUUGCAAGAAUCCAAAGUGACAAUGCACAAUAGUGUGAUGACUCACUUCACUCUCUCCCUUUGAGAUCCAAAGUCAUAUAUAUUUAAAAUGUGAAAUCUGUACUCUGUCCUUCAGACUUACUGGAGCCUGUGGGCCUGGUUGGUUUCGCCUCCCUGACAGUCCCCCAUUUGAAAUCCCUGUCUCCUUUGACCUCGUUGGUAUGCGCAAACACUUCUGCUCACUGGCUUAGAUGCUUUAGUUUAAAAGGUUAAUAGAGACCAAUUUUUGUGCCUUGGAUGGCAGCCUGCAAGCUUUUAAGACCCUGGCACUGCAUAUAGAACUAGAAGGUAGAACAGAAGCACUAAACACAUUACUAGGCCAAUUAAUUGGGAUGUCCCGUGAAACAAUUUACUUGGAUUCACAAUCAACACCCAUGGAAGUAGCAGUCAAGAAAUCAAAAGACACAUUGCAUUUGGUAAAUCUGCUGUAAAAGACCUCUUUAAAGUGUUGAAAUGCAAAGAUGUCACCUUGAAGACUAAGGUGUGCCUGAUCUAAGCCAUGGUGCUUUCAGUCACCUCAUAUGCAUGUGAAAGCUAGACAAUGAAUAAGGAAGACCAAAAAAGAAAUGAAGCCUUUGAAUUGUGGUGUUGGAGAAGGACAUUGAAUGUAUCGUGGACUGCCAAAAGAACGAGCAAAUCUGUCUUGAAAGGAGUACAACCAGGAUACUCCUUAGAAGCAAGGAUGGCAAGACUACCCCUCACGUACGUUGGACAUGUUAUCAGGAGGGAUCAGUCUCCAGAGAAGGACAUAGUGCUUGGUAAAGUGGAGGGUCAGCAAAAAAGAGGAAGAUCCUGAAAGAGAUGGAUUGACACAGUGGCUGGAAUAAUGGGCUCGAGCAUAGCAACAAUUGUGAGGAUGGCACAGGACUGGGCAGUGUUUCAUUCUGUUGUGUGUAGGGUCGCUAUGAAUCAGAACCAACUCAAUGGCGUCUAACAACAACAACAAACCACCAAACCAAGUUGGUUGAAUCAUGGAUGUGGAAUCUGGAGAUACAGAGGGGCGGCUGUUUAAAAGUGCUUUAUUGCUGCUGCUAGAAUGGUGCAUGGAACUUGGUAAGUGCUCAAUAGCUAUGUGUUGAAUGAGUAGCAGUUAAGAUUUCUCAAAUGCUUUCAUAAGAGUCUCACUUCAAUUUUUUAUUUGUUCCAUACACAUUUACAGAAAACCAUGGGGAUACGCCAACCAUCGUGAGGAUAUAAAGAAGAAUAAUUCCUACUGUCAAAUUGACUAUGGCCUUCUGGUGGAAACUAGGGUUGUCAAGUUUAGCAAAUAAAAUACAGGACAUCCAGUUAAAUUUGAAUUUCAGAUGAACAACAAAUAAUUUUUUAUACAUAUGCCCCAAAUAUUGCAUGAGACCUACGUAUACAAAAAGAUUAUUUGUUGCUUAUUUAACUAGACAUUCUGUAUUUUAUCUGACAACCUUAAGUGGAGACAGACAUGUGAACUGAUAAAUUACAAUAUAUUACUGUACUUGCAGUAACAGAAAUCCAGGCACAGGCUGAGGGGCCACAGAGGAGAUAUUGACUAAUUCUGCCAGGGAAAGCAGGAAAAGCUUAUAAAGCAGACAUUUGCACCGGGUACCAAUGUAUGAAUAGGAGUUUGUAAGCUGAAAUUAGAGAAAAAGGUGUGAAAGAGCUUAUGUAAAGGCUGUAGCUGUGGAAAGAUGGGAAGAGUUUGGAAAAUAGUAUGAUAUUUAGUGUCAUAGAGAUUUUAGUGCCCAAAAGAUUUGCAGGGAUAACAUAGCUGGACUAGGAAGAAGCUAGAGGAAUGGGGUCUCUAUGAGUCUUUGUUUUUGUUAGAGGCUAGGUAGGGUCAGAUUAUUAAGAAUCCUAUACCCCAGCUAAACUGUUGUUACUGUUGUGUGCCAUCAAGUCAACUCUGACUCAUAGUGACUUAAUAGGACGGAAUAGGACUACCCAUAGGGUUUCCUAGGCUGUAAUCUCUAAGGAAGCAAAUCACUGGGUCUUUUCUCUGGCAGAGCAGCUGGUGGGUGCAAACCAUUGGCCUUUUGGUUAGCCACAGAGCACCUAACCAUUGUGCCACCAGGACUCCUUCACAACCUAAGGAAGGGGGUUAUUAUCCUACAGACUAGCAUUUGCUAGCCCUUUUCCCUCUUUAAAAAGAAACUCUGGAACCUCCUACAUAGAAAUAUACAAUCUUUCAAUUCUCUCUUGAAAUUAUUUUUCACAGUUUCAUCAUUUUUAUGACAUAUGAUAGUUGA